rnacentral:lncRNA from 1 species
ACACUUCAGAGAGAGAAAACAAAACAGACAUCAAUACUACAACAAUCAAGCAAACCAGAGAGAAUACAUACUCUCAUAAGUUUGCAAAAUGCAACUAGUACUACAUACAUUAUCACGUAUUUAGAUCUUAUUAUGCAGAUAAUCUAUAAAUUCAAGUUUUAAGAAAUAACCUGGCUCAUUAUUCAGCUCAACAACAGUGUCAAUAGAAUUGUUAUCCUCAGAUGUUUGGACUGGCUAGCAGCUCUGAGUUUUCAUUAAUUGGUGAAUGUAGGGUCGUACUUCUUCAUCAUGACAUUGUUCAGCUACCAAUCUGCUACCAACUCUAUUUCGCAUUUUCGUUCUUCAAAAUCAACUCCUUAUCUAUUUUCUUCAAACGUGCAGGUGAACAUACUAAUAUGUGAAAACUUGCAAACAAACUAUUAAAGAAAACAACUAUGGAACCACACCUCCAAGUGGCUGUUGUUAGUUUUAUUGUGAAAUCUUAAAUCAUGUUCUAAGCUAUACAAAAUUUUAACUCAUUUUCUCGAGCUAAAUACAGAAGAAAACAAAAUCUAAUUAAUAUAUACAGGUUUUUUAAGCUAUGUUCGUCAAAGCUAUAUUAUGGUAAUCAAAUCAAACUCAAGUUUUGAAAAAGCAAAAUCUAAAAGGAGUCAAAUUAACGAAAGUAGAGCGUAGUACAAUGCACAGAGUACAACUCUCUGGAAACUACACAUACUAAUCCUUAUAUAUCAUGAUUUUACAGUCAUACACAAAAAAAUCAUAUUAGUAAAAGCAUGGUUUGAAAAAGAAAACCAUAAAAUAGACAAUGAUUGCAUUAAGCACGGUACAAAUUGCUGCAUUAGAUACCAAGCAAACUGAAUAGAGCAAAGGCAAAUACAGAGCAAAAUUCUUUACAGAUCGAGCUUAUCACAACAUGCCAUGCACAAAGUACAACUCUAUCGCAGCAAACCACAACUUCACUGCAAGAGUGCAAUUCUCAUAUAUGGCAAUUUCAUCGCUCAUACACAAAACAUUCAUCAUCAUCCAAAUAUUCAAAACAAAAAAACAGAAUGCGGCGUACCUUGAGGAAGUGGCAAAGGGUUGCGAAAAUUGAUGGCGGAUGAAGAAGACGGAGAUGCAAACGACGAAAUCGAAGACGAAGAAGAUGAAGCUUCAGAGAAAUUGAUGGUGCUUCAUAUCAAUUUUGUGAAUCUCAAAUUGCCGCUUCAGAUGAAGACGUCGAAAGAGAGAUCGAGCCCUUUUGGAAUUUGGGGAUUUUGGGAAUGAAAUGGGUUUAGGCGUUUAGGAAUAGCCUGUAUAGAAUGAAAUGGGUUUAGGCCUUUUGGAAUAGCCUGUAUAGAAUGUUGGGG